rnacentral:rRNA from 1 species
GAUGAACGCUGGCGGCGUGCUUAACACAUGCAAGUCGAACGACGAAGCCCAGCUUGCUGGGUGGAUUAGUGGCGAACGGGUGAGUAACACGUGAGUACCCUGCCCUUUACUCUGGGAUAAGCCUGGGAAACUGGGUCUAAUACCUGAUAGCAGCGUCCACCUCAUGGUGGGUGUUGGAAAGCUUUAUCGGUUUUGGAUGGACUCGCGGCCUAUCCGCUUUUUCGUGGGGUAAUGGCUCACCAAGACCACGACGGGUAGCCGGCCUGAGAGGGUGAACGGCGACAAUGGGACUGAGAGACGGCGCAGAGUCCUACGGGGGGCAGCAGUGGGGAAUAUUGCACAAUGGGCGCAAGCCGGAUGCAGAGACGCCGCGUGUGGGAUGACGGCCUGCGGGGUGUAAACCUCUUUCGGUAGGGAAGAAGCGAAAGUGACGGUACCUGCAGAAGAAGCACCGGCUAACUACGUG